rnacentral:rRNA from 1 species
UACGUAGGGUGCAAGCGUUGUCCGGAAUUAUUGGGCGUAAAGAGCUCGUAGGCGGCUUGUCGCGUCGAUUGUGAAACCCGCGGCUCAACCGCGGGCCUGCAUUCGAUACGGGCAGGCUAGAGUUCGGUAGGGGAGACUGGAAUUCCUGGUGUAGCGGUGAAAUGCGCAGAUAUCAGGAGGAACACCGAUGGCGAAGGCAGGUCUCUGGGCCGAUACUGACGCUGAGGAGCGAAAGCGUGGGGAGCGAACAGG